UUUUUUUUUUUUUUGUAUUUUUAAUCAACAUUAAAAGAAAAACUACUAGCCAAGAGCUGUGGUCAAGAGCUACCUGUUGUCACCACAUUCUAAUAAUAUUUUUUUUUUUAAGUCUGUGGAGGUUGCAUGUAAUUUUCUUACUGGUUUUGCUUUGCUGGUGUGCUGCUUUUAGUUUUGUUGCUUUCAUUAACUGUGUUUCUUCUUUCACUGUCUUGCAGGGUGAUGUGCUCUGGCAUUUUAAAGAAUGAAGUGAAGUAGGAUGAUGCUCCACUGACAAAAGAAGUGGGAAUGCAGGACUGCUAGAUCAUCUUGCAGUGUGAAUGGUGAGAUGAUCAGCCCAAAGUUCAGUAUGUCUUGCAGAGCAUUAAAUGUAAAGCUUUUAUGGAUUUGUUCCAAUACCAGCUGAAAAUAGAGGAAAAAUCUCUCCAGGAUUUUGGAAGGUCUUGUUAUUAAAGGCUAUGAAUUUGCAUCUCCUUAUCACUGGCUGGAUUUGCACCCCUCUCCUGAUGCCCCUAUUUUAUACUUAAUGGAAAGAAUGUAGAGAAACACAGAAAUGCCCUUCCUGACCUGUGGUAGACACUGCUGCCUAAGAGCAGUGACAGCAACAUACGGGGCCAGGCAGGGAGAGAUUUUGCUAAUUCUAAGGGAAAACCUGUUCUUGCUGUAGCAGUCACUUCUCCAGGGAGAUGAAAUCACAAGGUCUGGACUGAAGACUGAAAAAAAAUUUGCAACUUCCCUCUGUUCCUUCCUGCUGUUUUUAUUUCUGAAUUGUGUGCAUCCUGCUGUAACACAUGUCAAUGUGUGAAUAUUUCAUAUGCCAUGUUUCACCUAGAAAUGUGCUUUUCUCACAAGUAACUGGAUGUGACCUAAGCAUUAUAUUUGGUUACAUAUUAAGACCACUAUCAGGAAGGAACUGAAGCAAACAUGAGACAAAACAAGCAACAGGCUUAUAGCCUGACCUGCAGUGAGAUCCUGGCUUGCAGAGAAGUGACUGCUGCAGGUAUUGAAGUCAUUCUUCAUGGGUGUGAUCCCUCCCAAGUGGUGGGGCAGUAUUUCUCUGCCAUCCUCCUGGCUCAGAACAUCUGCUACCCCUCCAGGUGCAAGAACCUGUCCUCAGUACCUUUGUAAUGGUGCUGCCCUGUGGGUGCAGCAGGCACAGAUUUGCAGGUUAAUAAUUUAGCAUGAUGGUUUUUUGGGAGUGGUUAUGAAAGAUGCUAAAUAUGGAGCGAGUCAAGGGAUGAAGUCCCUUUCCCUGUGGUAGGCAUAGCAUAGGAUGCUGCCAUGAACACAUGAAAGACAUUUAUUAUUCAAAGGAACUUCCUUACUGACCAUAGUUGAGAUUUAUGUGUAGCAGCUAUUACAAUUUGUGGUAUCUGAAUAACACGUUCAGGUUAUACUGUUGGUUCAAAACAUCAGAUUUGCUGGCAGAAUGAGCUCUAAGUUUUCUUUAUAUCUGUAGAGGAGCAGGUAUGAGGAGUGUACCUACUCAGGAAUGAGAUACACCACAACUUUGCCUCUUUUUGUGUGUGUGUGUGUGUUUUUUUUUUCUUUUGUGGUUUUUGUUUGUUUUUGGUUUUUGUGAGCUGCUGCCUCAGACUGGAACCAGGGAAAACAGAGAUAUAUCCUGUAACAACCUGCUCAUUACUUUCUGAGG
ensembl:lncRNA